AUUGAACGCUGGCGGCAGGCCUAACACAUGCAAGUCGAACGGAAGAAGGGUGCUUGCUUGUGGUUUCAGCGGCGGAGGGGUGGGUGGUGCAUAGGAAUAUCCCUGGCUACGUGGGCGAACGUCCUGACGCGGGGGCUAAUACGGCAUAAGUGCAGAGGGCGAACGGGGGAGAGCAUCGGACCUUACGAUCUCAGGUGAGUGUAGGUCGGAUUAGCUAGUUGGUGGGGUAAAGGCCUACCAAGGCGACGAUCCGUAACUGGUCUGAGAGGAUGAUCAGUCACACUGGAACUGAGACACGGUCCAGACUCCUACGGGAGGCAGCAGUGGGGAAUAUUGGACAAUGGGCGAAAGCCUGAUCCAGCCAUGCCGCGUGUGUGAAGAAGGUCUUCGGAUUGUAAAGCCCUUUUGUUGGGGAAGAAGGGCAGUAGGUUAAUACCUUGCUGUUUUGACGGUACCCACAGAAUAAGCACCGGCUAACUUCGUG
rnacentral:rRNA from 1 species